ACGAAGGGGGCUAGCGUUGUUCGGAAUCACUGGGCGUAAAGGGCGCGUAGGCGGUGCACCAAGUCAGGCGUGAAAGCCCCGGGCUCAACCCGGGAAUGCAUACGAUACUGGCAGGCUGGAGACUGGUAGAGGCUAGCGGAAUUCCUGGUGUAGCGGUGGAAUGCGUAGAUAUCAGGAAGAACACCUGUGGCGAAGGCGGCUAGCUGGGCCAGUUCUGACGCUCAUCCGCGAAAGCGCGGGGAGCAAACAGGA
rnacentral:rRNA from 1 species